ACGCUGCGAAUUUCGUUGUCUCGAAGGGCUGUGUUGGAGGAAUCCACCACCAUGACAAACUUCACCUUGGAGUUGGUGACAUAGCCAUACACCUUGUAGUCCUCCGUGGGGUAGAGCAGGCCCAGGUACAGCUCCCUCUGGUCGACGAGGGCCUUCCCCAUUGCAGAGAUCUUCUCAUCCACCACAUCCAGAGAUGUGUGUACCAUGUAGUGGAACUUCAGCUCGUUCUCCGUGGGGGUACUGCGGAUGUAGAGAGGGUAAUUCUGCAAGAAAGGAUGACGGCGUCUCAAAGGACAAGACUCCACCCAGCCAGCUCUGAACAACGCUGCAGAGCUGUGACCUGCAGCCACUGAGGCAACACAUUCUCCUUCUCUAAGGCCCAAUGCUUCACUCUCCAUGCCGCGGUGGGCACUGCCUUCGGGGGAUCCCAUGUCACCUAAGGAGAUUUAUGUGUUGUUUGCAAAGCAGCAGCAGCAGGGUGGGCAGAAAAGAAAAGACAAUUCAGAAAAAUGGGCCUGAGCACAGCCUGAGGAUCCAGCCUGGCACCUGGGCAGGCCUGUCACCUUCUCCUGGAGGACACUCUGCCUCAGCACAUCUGCCUGGGUCACGCAAACACGGCAGCACCCUAUAUGCUGGCUUUUCUUCACCUUGACAGCAACCUUUUACUAAAUCCUUCAAAGACUCAGCUCAAAUACCCUUCAUCUCUGCAGUUCUGACCAUCCUAAGCCCACAGUUCACAGCUCACUUCCUGGGCUUUCACAGGCCACCAUUCACCCUGUGUCUGUUCAGCACUGGGUCCUGCAGAAAUACCAUGAACAAGAGUCCUGGCCACCCUCGUGGAGCCACGUGAUACAUACUCAGCAAACCCACAAGCAAGCAAAGGAUCAUGUGUGGCCCAUGCCAGGAGGGAACCCAUGAGAAGCUUAGCAGCACCCACGGCCCCACAGGGAGCGGCCUUCAGAAUCUGGUCUCGAGGGAGGCCACAGCUAGGAAAUAAAGGCUUCAGGCAGCAGGAGCACGUGGACCGGCACCCAGCUCAGUCUUGGCCUUCAGAAAAUGCCUUCCACAAGAAAUGCAUGUGGCCCAGUAAAGAGGAUGGGAGCUAGGAAGAGAUGUUCCGCGUGGAAACGCCCAGAGGUGGCACCGGGGAGACUGGCAAGAGGGCCGGGGACGCCGUCGGGGG